rnacentral:rRNA from 1 species
UACGAAGGGGGCUAGCGUUGCUCGGAAUCACUGGGCGUAAAGGGUGCGUAGGCGGGUCUUUAAGUCAGAGGUGAAAUCCUGGAGCUCAACUCCAGAACUGCCUUUGAUACUGAGGAUCUUGAGUAUGGGAGAGGUGAGUGGAACUGCGAGUGUAGAGGUGAAAUUCGUAGAUAUUCGCAAGAACACCAGUGGCGAAGGCGGCUCACUGGCCCAUUACUGACGCUGAGGCACGAAAGCGUGGGGAGCAAACGGG